GUGUAUUGGACUACCAUUGGUAGUGUAUUGGACAACCAAGUCGAUCACGGGUAACGGAGAAUUAGGGUUCGAUUCCGGAGAGGGAGCCUGAGAAAUGGCUACCACAGCUACGGUAGGCAGCAGGUGCGUAAAUUACCCAAUCCUAAUUCAGGAAGGUAGUUACAGGAAAUUUGUUGCAUGGACUUCGGUUCAGACACAAAUGAACACAUGUAAGUAUUGUGUGUUUAAUUGGAGGGCAAGUUUUGGUGCCAGCAGCCGCGGUAAUUCCAACUCCAAGAGUGUAUCUUAAUGUUGCUGCAGUUAAAAAGCUCGUAGUUGAAUUUCUGGACAGGGCCGAGCCUCCGGGCGAGGCCGUGUUCAUCCGCUUGGAGAACCUGCACGGCCUUCAACCGUCGUGCUGUGGACCCAGCAUUUUACUUUGAAGAAAUUAGAGUGUUCCUGGCAGGCGUUCGCUUGCAUAUAUUAGCAUGGAAUAAUGGAAAACGACUCGGUUGUUUCGAUUGGUGACAAUUGAGUAAUGAUUAACAGGGACAGUCGGGGGCAUUCGUACUCAGUGGCUAGAGGUGAAAUUCUUAGAUUCGCUGAAGACGAACUAAUGCGAAAGCAUUUGCCAAGGAUGUUUUCA
rnacentral:rRNA from 1 species